rnacentral:lncRNA from 1 species
UGACUAUCCAACACAACGCUGGAACUCUUUCAAGUCAAGAAGGCCUACAGCAUCAUCCAUUGAACUCCACAAUGGAACAGAGUACGCUACCUCUUUUCCUAUUGCUUGAAGAUUACAAUACUGUCAUUUAUUCUGAGAGUGCUAUAAAUCAGAAGGAUCAGGACAAGGCGGAUGGAUGUAUUACCACAUGCUACCUGACUAUCUAAACACUAUCCACAGACAGCUAAGUAUUAUAGCAACUACACCAUUUAUCAGCUCCAUUUUUUUACAUUUUUGACAUUAUUGUCAAAUACAGAACAUCUAAAAUAAACAUAUUACAUCAAUAGAAUGUCAAAGUAGAAAUGUCAUCUUAUGUAAGACAUUUUAAGGGUGGUCACAGAUCAAGGCUAGUCCUGGACUGAAUGAAGAUUCUUUGUUGAGUUUGCUUUUCAGUCUAGGACUAGGCUUAAUCUGUGUCUGGAAAACUGUCCCUCAAUGUUGUAUUUGAAAUAAAUAAAGGAAGAAAUGCUAGAUGUCAAAACAGCUCUUAGAAAUAGAAAGCUUUACAUAAUUGAAGCACCA